rnacentral:lncRNA from 1 species
GGCCAUUGGUUCAGGGUUAGGCCUAUAGCAUUGAGCCAUGCUUGCCCCUCCCUCAUCAGUCUCCUCUGACAGACAGGCCAUUGAUUCAGGGUUAGGCCUAUAGCAUUGAGCCAUGUUCUCAGCAUGUAGUGCACCCUGCCAAUCAGCUUCGAGGUGGUCUGUCUUCAUCUAACAGAGAGACUUAGGCUGCUUCCCAAAUGGACCCUAUCACCUCUAUAGUGCACUGCUGGUGGAAAGUAAGGCACUACGUAGGGGAUAGGGUGCCAUUUGUGACGCAGCCUUACAGCCAGACCCAGAGACAGGCUGAUAGAGGGCUGUGCCCUGCCAUUUGUGACGCAGCCUUACAGCCAGACCCAGAGACAGGCUGAUAGAGGGCUGUGCCCUGGGGAAGGGGAGAGAGGCUGAGCCCUGGGGGAAGGGGAGAGGCUGAGCCCUGGGGAAGGGGAGAGAGGCUGAGGCCUGGGGAAGGGGAGAGAGGCUGAGGCUUGGGGAAGGGGAGAGGCUGAGCCCUGGGGAAGGGGAGAGAGGCUGAGGCCUGGGGAAGGGGCGAGGCUGAGCCCUGGGGAAGGAGAGAGGCUGAGCCCUGGGGAAGGGGAGAGGCUGAGCCCUGGGGAAGGUGAGUGGCUGAGGCCUGGGGAAGGGGAGAGAGUCUGAGCCCUGGGGAAGGGGAGAGAGGCUGAGGCCUGGGGAAGGGGAGAGAGGCUGAGGCCUGGGGAAGGGGAGAGAGGCUGAGGCCUGGGGAAGGAGAGAGGCUGAGGCAUGGGGAAGGGGAGAGAGGCUGAGCCCUGGGGAAGGGGAGAGGCUGAGGCCUGGGGAAGGGGAGAGAGGCUGAGCCCUGGGGAAGGGGAGAGAGUCUGAGGCCUGGGGAAGGGGAGAGAGGCUGAGGCAUGGGGAAGGGGAGAGAGGCUGAGGCCUGGGGAAGGAGAGAGGCUGAGCCCUGGGGAAGGGGAGAGGCUGAGGCCUGGGGAAGGGGAGAGAGGCUGAGCCCUGGGGAAGGGGAGAGACUGAGGCUGCUGGGCUUCAAUGGGGGAAGUCCUGAUCAUGACAGAGCCGUAGCUAAUUGGACAACAAGGUGUCCUGUGUUCCCAGACCAGACUGGCCUGGCUAAUCAUCCUCUGAGAAGCUCAUACCUGGGAAUAUAUGUGUGUGUGUGACAAAAAGAGAAGGAAGUGUCAAACUGGGCAGGGUGAGAGGUGGGCAGCACCAUGCAGACCAGGAGGCUGAGGACAGAGAUCUGCUACCUCUGUUUCCUGUCUGUGGGAAGAGAAUCUGCUUUUGGUUUUUGUUUUCAGAUUCGUCGUGAAGUCCUAAAUUCUUUAGGGUUUCUGUGGCUAAGUCAAAGAAGGAGUGACAGGGAAAGGUAUGCAGUUUUUUGAAAUUGAUUUUAUUUCAUUGAUUGAAAUUAAUAGUGUUGAGAAUUUAGCAGAAGAUGAAAACAGCUUUGCGACAAACAUGAGCGUUUCCAAAAGGUAGAGCAGUUCUCAGUAUUGUUGAGCUACAGAGGAAACCCCAGCAUUGAUCUGUGAUAAGUUAUGACAAGAGGAUAUUGAUCCAGUGGCUCAGAGCUCACAGGACAACAUAAAGAGACCGCAGAGACAUCCAUCUGUCCUCACAGAGACAUCCAUCUGGAAGAGAGACCACAGAUCUGUCUUCUGGAAGACAGGCUAGAGAGAGAGACCACAGAGCUGUCCUCUGGGAGACAGGAUAGAGAGAGACAACAGAGCUGUCCUCUGGGAGAUAGGCUAGAGAGAGAGACCACAGAGCUGUCUUCUGGGAGACAGGCUAAGUAGAGAGACCACAGAUCUGUCUUCUGGAAGACAUGCUAGAGAGAGAGACCACAGAGCUGUCCUCUGGGAGACAGGAUAGAGAGAGACAACAGAGCUGUCCUCUGGGAGAUAGGCUAGAGAGAGAGACCACAGAGCUGUCUUCUGGGAGACAGGCUAAGGAGAGAGACCACAGAUCUGUCCUCUGGGAGACAGGCUAGGGAGAGAGACCACAGAUCUGUCCUCUGGGAGACAGGCUAGAGAGAGAGACCACAGAGCUGUCCUCUGGGAGACAGGCUAGAGAGACAGAGACCACAGAGCUGUCCUCUGGGAGACAGGCUAGAGAGAGAGAUCACAGAGCUGUCCUCUGGGAGACAGGCUAGAGAGAGAGAGAGACCACAGAGCUGUCCUCUGGGAGACAGGCUAGAGAGAGAGACCACAGAUCUGUCCUCUGGGAGACAGGCUAGGGAGAGAGACCACAGAUCUGUCCUCUGGGAGACAGGCUAGAGAGAGAGACCACAGAUCUGUCCUCUGGGAGAGAGACCAGAGCCUGUCACAGCCCAUUCAAAUUCACAUACCAGACCAAAUAUAUAUAUUUCAGAACCAGAUGAAAUAUGUUGUUAAAAACAUAUUGUGUGAUUGUCGAUACAUUACUUUCAAUCUCAUUUGCAUUCUUUCUGAGAAAAGUUGAAAGAGAAACUCUAACCAUUUUUCAUAUGAAGACAUUGUUAAGC